rnacentral:rRNA from 1 species
UUGAAGAGUUUGAUCAUGGCUCAGAUUGAACGCUGGCGGCAGGCCUAACACAUGCAAGUCGAGCGGUAACACAGAGAGCUUGCUCUCGGGUGACGAGCGGCGGACGGGUGAGUAAUGUCUGGGAAACUGCCUGAUGGAGGGGGAUAACUACUGGAAACGGUAGCUAAUACCGCAUAACGUCGCAAGACCAAAGUGGGGGACCUUCGGGCCUCAUGCCAUCAGAUGUGCCCAGAUGGGAUUAGCUAGUAGGUGGGGUAAUGGCUCACCUAGGCGACGAUCCCUAGCUGGUCUGAGAGGAUGACCAGCCACACUGGAACUGAGACACGGUCCAGACUCCUACGGGAGGCAGCAGUGGGGAAUAUUGCACAAUGGGCGCAAGCCUGAUGCAGCCAUGCCGCGUGUAUGAAGAAGGCCUUCGGGUUGUAAAGUACUUUCAGCGAGGAGGAAGGCGUUAAGGUUAAUAACCUUGGCGAUUGACGUUACUCGCAGAAGAAGCACCGGCUAACUCCGUGCCAGCAGCCGCGGUAAUACGGAGGGUGCAAGCGUUAAUCGGAAUUACUGGGCGUAAAGCGCACGCAGGCGGUCUGUCAAGUCGGAUGUGAAAUCCCCGGGCUCAACCUGGGAACUGCAUUCGAAACUGGCAGGCUAGAGUCUUGUAGAGGGGGGUAGAAUUCCAGGUGUAGCGGUGAAAUGCGUAGAGAUCUGGAGGAAUACCGGUGGCGAAGGCGGCCCCCUGGACAAAGACUGACGCUCAGGUGCGAAAGCGUGGGGAGCAAACAGGAUUAGAUACCCUGGUAGUCCACGCCGUAAACGAUGUCGACUUGGAGGUUGUGCCCUUGAGGCGUGGCUUCCGGAGCUAACGCGUUAAGUCGACCGCCUGGGGAGUACGGCCGCAAGGUUAAAACUCAAAUGAAUUGACGGGGGCCCGCACAAGCGGUGGAGCAUGUGGUUUAAUUCGAUGCAACGCGAAGAACCUUACCUACUCUUGACAUCCAGAGAACUUAGCAGAGAUGCUUUGGUGCCUUCGGGAACUCUGAGACAGGUGCUGCAUGGCUGUCGUCAGCUCGUGUUGUGAAAUGUUGGGUUAAGUCCCGCAACGAGCGCAACCCUUAUCCUUUGUUGCCAGCGAUUCGGUCGGGAACUCAAAGGAGACUGCCAGUGAUAAACUGGAGGAAGGUGGGGAUGACGUCAAGUCAUCAUGGCCCUUACGAGUAGGGCUACACACGUGCUACAAUGGCAUAUACAAAGAGAAGCGACCUCGCGAGAGCAAGCGGACCUCAUAAAGUAUGUCGUAGUCCGGAUUGGAGUCUGCAACUCGACUCCAUGAAGUCGGAAUCGCUAGUAAUCGUAGAUCAGAAUGCUACGGUGAAUACGUUCCCGGGCCUUGUACACACCGCCCGUCACACCAUGGGAGUGGGUUGCAAAAGAAGUAGGUAGCUUAACCUUCGGGAGGGCGCUUACCACUUUGUGAUUCAUGACUGGGGUGAAGUCGUAACAAGGUAACCGUAGGGGAACCUGCGGUUGGAUCACCUCCUU